AUAUAGCCCACCAAUAUCUCCACCACCGCAUCGGAAAGGCUCUGGAGCAACGAACUGCUUUGCUGUCUCUGCCCGGCUCCCCUCUCUCCACUGGGAUUCUCUGCCUCUGACGGGAGGCUGAGCCACUGGCUUCCUGGUGCUCUUCCAUGCCGUCCCUAGGAGGGGUGCGUCACUUGAGUGGGUUGAGUCACAGACGUGAUCUUCCUGUUCGGCUUUGCUCCCCCUUGGGCUUGUGCGGUGGAGGAGAUAUUGGUGGGCUAUAUACUCCGCCUUGUAUCAGCAUAGUAAGUUGGUGGUCUGUUUAUCUCUCUAGUGGUGUGGGUGUGGUGCUUUAGCAAAGUGAUUGGGGUUAUAUCCUGCCUGGUUGGCCCUGUCCGGGGGUAUCGUCAGAUGGGGCCACAGUGUCCCCCGAACCACCCCUGUCUCAGUCUGCAGUAUCUAUUCUGCAAUAGUAUAUGUGCCGGGGGUUAGGGUCAGUCUGUUAUAUCUGGUGUAAUUCUCCUGUCUUAUCUGGUGUCCUGUGUCCUGAAUUUAAAUAUGCUCCCUCUAAUUCUCUCUCUCUCUCUCCCUCUCUCCCUCCACUCUCGGAGGACCUGAGCCCUAGGGUCAUGCCUCAGGACUACCUGGCCUGAUAACUCCUGGCUGUCCCCAGUCCACCUGGUCAUGCUGCUGCUCCAGUUUCAACUGUUCUGCCUGCGGCUAUGGAACUGAGCCUAAAAACCUACAGCUGGCCGAGAUAGCCUGGAGAAGUAGAUCGUAAUCCUUCAUUGUCUCAAAAUCAUCCUGGCAUCUGGGAAACUAAGCCGAGGUGGUGUUAAAACCACACCAGAGGUAGAUAACCAGGAGAUGAACCCGAAGUUGCAUGGGAGGGGUGGAACCAGCCACGAAUAAGCAUUUUUAGUGUCAGUUAUAUAAGGAAUCUGUUAUGGUUAACCUUCGGCAACACAAAUUAGAUUGUGCGGUUGACAGCUUCAUAGUUGCAAUAAUUAAAUCGAUAUUAAACAAAGAUGAUUGUUUGAAGAAAUUACAAUGUCUCUCUCACUUGAUUAGAAUAUUCCACCACAGAACCCUGACCUGACGUGCUACCUUGUCCCGGACAUGCUGUUUUUGACUCUCUCUCUCAACGGUCUCGACCUCUGAAUGAUUGGCUAUGAAAAGCCAACUGACAUUUACUCCUGAGGUACUGACCUGUUGGACCCUCUACAACCACUGUGAUUAUUAUUUGACCCUGCUUGUCAUCUAUGAACAUUUGAACAUCUUGAAGAAAAAUCUGGCCUUAAAUGUUCAUGUACUCUUAUAAUCUCCACCCGGCACAGCCAGAAGAGUACUGGCCACCCCUCAGAGCCUGAUUCAUCUCUAGGAUUCUUCCUAGCUUCCUGCCUUUCUAGGGAGUUUUUCCUAGCCACCGUGCAUCCACAUCUGCAUUGCUUGCUGUUUGGAGUUUUAGGCUGAGUUUCUGUUUAGCACUUUUGUGACAUCUGCUGAUGUAAAAAGACAUGUAUAAAUACAUUUCAUUGAUUGGUUGAUUAAGAUAUUGCUGAGGAAUUGCACUUACAAACUAUCUUAUGAACUUCUUUUUUUUUUCUUGAGAAGCUUCUUCAUUUUUUUUUGCUUAAAGAAGUGUUUUGUGAAUCUGGGCCAAGGUCUUGUCUUGGUGUCAGAUACAUUUCUACUCGGUGUCGACUAGGUCUCGGACCAGCGGAGUAAAAAACAAAACUCUAUAUUAUCAGCUUCCAUUAAACAGACAGUUAACCCACUGUUCCUAGGCCGUCAUUGAAAAUAAGAAUUUGUUCUUUAACCGACUUGCCUGGUUAAAUAAAGGUUCAAUGAAAUAAAUAAAUUAAAAAAGUCA